UUGAGUCACUGUAACUGGAGUACACUGAGAUCUUCAGUCUCCUAAGAAGGAGAGAUAUGAGACUUUUCCCUCUGAGUUAGUGCCCUCAGCCUUCCAAACCUGGACUACAAAGUGGUAUGUCUGCGGUCCCCAGCAUCCCAGGAAACCCAUUCAUCACCUUGCAAGGCUUCAAGGUGUUAAAUAACUACAGGCGUGGUGCCAGGAUGGACAGAAGGUUUGUUAACUCAUAAGGACAUCUGGAGCUGCAGACAUGUAACUCAUGCCACAGGUUUAGCAUGGUCCCAGCACAUAAUUUUAUGCUGAUUUGCAAGAGCACAUGGUGGAAUGAGCUGCACAUAACCCUGUAUGUUCCUUGGGUGUCCCUGCACUGGUCUGAUGAAAGAUCAACUGGGCUUUGCUGGGCAUAUACAGGUUGGUGCACUUUGGAAUGGCUGUUUUUUGCCUGUGUUAGAACUUUCUGUUUGCCAACAGGGUGUGAUCUGCCAGAUGAACCCAUGGAAAGACUGUGUAAAGCAAAUAAGAACUCUGUUAUUCUAAAGGGAAUGAAGCUGAUAUUUCAAUAUUGGGCCCAUGUUACUGUUUUGAAGUUAAAUACAAUGGUAAUGAAACAGCAAAGUAAUUUUAAGGGUCAAAUUCUGGCCUUUCUGGUAAGUUGA
rnacentral:lncRNA from 1 species